GUGAACGCUGGCGGUAGGCCUAACACAUGCAGGUCGAACGGCAGCACAGUAAGAGCUUGCUCUUACGGGUGGCGAGUGGCGGACGGGUGAGGAAUACAUCGGAAUCUACUUUUUCGUGGGGGAUAACGUAGGGAAACUUACGCUAAUACCGCAUACGACUUACGGGUGAAAGCAGGGGAUCUUCGGACCUUGCGCGAUUGAAUGAGCCGAUGUCGGAUUAGCUAGUUGGCGGGGUAAAGGCCCACCAAGGCGACGAUCCGUAGCUGGUCUGAGAGGAUGAUCAGCCACACUGGAACUGAGACACGGUCCAGACUCCUACGGGAGGCAGCAGUGGGGAAUAUUGGACAAUGGGCGCAAGCCUGAUCCAGCCAUACCGCGUGGGUGAAGAAGGCCUUCGGGUUGUAAAGCCCUUUUGUUGGGAAAGAAAAGCAGCAGGUUAAUACCCCGCUGUUCUGACGGUACCCAAAGAAUAAGCACCGGCUAACUUCGUG
rnacentral:rRNA from 1 species